CGGUAAUUCCAGCUCCAAUAGCGUAUACUAAAUUUGUUGCAGUUAAAAAGCUCGUAGUUGGAUUUCUGAUCGGUGUGAUGCUCCAGUUCUUUGAAUUGUGUAAAUCAUGCUGCUCAUCCUGGGAAAUCGCGGUUUGGGCAUUCAUUUGUUCAUACUGGCAAUUCCCUCGUUUACUUUGAGAAAAUUAGGGUGUUCAAAGCAGGCUUACGCUUGAAUACAUUAGCAUGGAAUAAUAUUAUAGGACUUUGGUCUUAUUUUGUUGGUUUCUAGGACCGAAGUAAUGAUUGAUAGGGACGGUUGGGGGCAUCAGUAUUUCAAAGCGAGAGGUGAAAUUCUUGGACCUUUGGAAGACUAACAACUGCGAAAGCAUUUGCCUAGGACGUUCUCUUUAAUCAAGAACGAAAGUUAAGGGAUCGAAGACGAUCAGAUACCGUCGUAGUCUUAACUAUAAACUAUGCCAGCUAGGGAUUGGGAGCUAUCUUCCUUGAUGCUCUCAGCACCUUAUGAGAAAUCAAAGCAUUUGGGUUCCGGGGGGAGUAUGGUCGCAAGGCUGAAACUUAAAGGAAUUGACGGGAGGGCACCACCAGGAGUGGAGCCUGUGGCUUAAUUUGACUCAACACGGGAAAACUUACCAGGUCCGGACGUAGUAAGGAUUGACAGACUGAAGGUCUUUCUUGAUUCUAUGGGUGGUGGUGCAUGGCCGUUCUUAGUUGGUGGAGUGAUUUGUCUGGUUAAUUCCGUUAACGAACGAGACCCCAGCCUGCUAAUUAGUGUGAGGAAUUUCUAAUUCCAUGACUCUUCUUAGAGGGACAAGUGUGUGUAUAACCACAGGAAGUUUGGGGCAAUAACAGGUCUGUGAUGCCCUUAGAUGUUCUGGGCCGCACACGGGCUACACUGCAGCUAACAACGAGCAUUCCCCUGUUCGAAAGUUCCGGGUAAUCUUUUGAGAUAGCUGCGUGAUUGGGAUAGACUAUUGCAAUUAUUAGUCUUCAACGAGGAAUUCCUAGUAAACGCAAGUCAUCAGCUUGCAUUGAUUACGUCCCUGCCCUUUGUACACACCGCCCGUCGCUCCUACCGAUUGGAUGUAUCAGUGAGCUGUCGGGAUCCUUGAUUGAAAGGCUCACGUUUGGAUAUCUUGGAGAACUUCUGCAAACUUAUUCAUCUAGAGGAAGGAGAAGUCGUAACAAGGUAACC
rnacentral:rRNA from 1 species